rnacentral:rRNA from 1 species
AAUUUUGGACAAUGGGGGAAACCCUGAUCCAGCCAUCCCGCGUGUAUGAUGAAGGACNNNGGGUUNUCAAGUACUUUUGGCAGNGACNAAAAGGUAUCCCCUAAUACGGGAUAAUGCUGACGGUAUAUGCAGAAUAAGCACUGGCUAACUACGGUCCAGCAGCCGCAGUAAUACGUAGGGUGCAAGCGUUAAUCGGGAUUACUGGGCGUAAAGCGUGUGUAGGCGGUACGGAAAGAAAGAAGUGAAAUCCCAGGGCUCAACCUUGGAACUGCAUUUUUAACUGCCGAGCUAGAGUAUGUCAGAGGGGGGUAGAAUUCCACGUGUAGCAGUGAAAUGCGUAGAUAUGUGGAGGAAUACCGAUGGCGAAGGCAGCCCCCUGGGAUAAUACUGACGCUCAGACAAGAAAGCGUGGGGAGCAAACAGG